CAUGUGUAAGCGAAGCGAUAAGUGGAGCGGUGAAAGGCUCAGUAACGGGCGAUUUAUUUGAUCUCCUGGGACGGACAACAUCGGGAAACUGAUGGGAAAACGUCUAAGUUGCAGUUUUUUUUUGAUUGCGACGUAAACCUUUUGGUGCAGGAGAGUAAGAUGCCAUCCUAUCAGUUAGUAAGUAGGGUAAGGGCCUACUUAGACGAAGACGGGUACGGGGAAUGAGGGUUUGAUUCCGGAGAGGGAGCCUGAGAGAUGGCUACCAGGACCAAGGUCAGCAGCAGGCGCGAAAAUUAUCGAAGCCCGCCUAGGGGCGAUAGUGAGGAGACGUGUAUAACGAAGUACGUGUAAAGACCGUACUAAUAACUGGAGGUCAAGUCUGGUGCCAGCAUCCGCGGUAAUUCCAGCUCCAGGGGUGUCUAUGAUGAUUGCUGCGAUUAAAAAGUCCGUAGUCGAGCUGACUGACUGACCUGCAAUGUGGUUGAUUAAAAGACGAGCAGGGUUAGGAAAGCAGAGAAUUAGGAGCGACCGAGGGCUAGAGUAUUGAAUGGCGAGAGGUGAAAUUUGAUGACCCAUUCAGGAGUGACAAAGGCGAAGGCACUAGUCAAGGGCGAAUCCGAUGAUCAAGGACGUAGGCUAGAGUUUCGAAAACGAUUAGAGACCGGAGUAGUUCUAGCAGUAAACUAUGCCGACACCGUGGUAUUAAUUUUUUAGUAUUGCGGAAGAGAAAUCAAGUAAGGCUUUGGGGAGAGUACGCGCGCAAGCGAUAAAUUUAAAGGAAAUUGACGGAGGAACACCACAAGGAGUGGAGUGUGCGGCUUAAUUU
rnacentral:rRNA from 1 species